UCCGGUGCACUUCUGUGUUGUGUUCAUUUCUCGUUCCUCCGAAGGCCAUCAUUUCAGAAGAUUCAUCGUUCUCAGCAUUCAGCUUUCAUCCUCAAUUCUUCUCAAUUGUUGUCUCUUCGUUCGUCUCUCGAUUAUUCCGGUGCCUUAUUCAAGUUUUCUCUCAGGUGGCUUAUGAUCUCUUCAUUCUCUUGUUUCUCCAUUGAUUCUUGGUUUUCCAUUCAACUGGGAUUUCUUACCGGUGCUUCCUUCAAU
rnacentral:lncRNA from 1 species